rnacentral:rRNA from 1 species
AUUGAACGCUGGCGGUAGGCCUAACACAUGCAAGUCGAACGGCAGCACAGUAAGAGCUUGCUCUUACGGGUGGCGAGUGGCGGACGGGUGAGGAAUACAUCGGAAUCUACUUUUUCGUGGGGGGUAACGUAGGGAAACUUACGCUAAUACCGCAUAAGACCUACGGGUGAAAGCAGGGGAUCUUCGGACCUUGCGCGAUUGAAUGAGCCGAUGUCGGAUUAGCUAGUUGGCGGGGUAAAGGCCCACCAAGGCGACGAUCCGUAGCUGGUCUGAGAGGAUGAUCAGCCACACUGGAACUGAGACACGGUCCAGACUCCUACGGGAGGCAGCAGUGGGGAAUAUUGGACAAUGGGCGCAAGCCUGAUCCAGCCAUACCGCGUGGGUGAAGAAGGCCUUCGGGUUGUAAAGCCCUUUUGUUGGGAAAGAAAAGCAGCAGGUUAAUACCCCGCUGUUCUGACGGUACCCAAAGAAUAAGCACCGGCUAACUUCGUG